rnacentral:sRNA from 1 species
CCCUAGCCCUGAUGGAAGCGGCAUCCUUUUUAUGGCUUUUUAGCCAUAAAAAGAUAUAGCGAACAGCGGGAAAAAGC